rnacentral:tRNA from 1 species
GGAGAGAUGGCAGAGUGGUCGAAUGCGGUUGACUCGAAAUCAAUUGUGCUCGUAAGGGUACCGGGAGUUCGAAUCUCCCUCUCUCCGCCA